CCUACGGGUGGCAGCAGUGGGGAAUAUUGGGCAAUGGGCGCAAGUCUGACCCAGCAACGCCGCGUGAAGGAAGCAGGCUUUCGGGUUGUAAACUUCUUUUAAGAGGGAAGUGCAGAAGACGGUACCUCUUGAAUAAGCCGCGGCUAACUACGUGCCAGCAGCAGCGGUAAUACGUAGGUGGCAAGCGUUGUCCGGAUUUACUUGGUGUAAAGGGCGUGCAGCCGGGAAGACAAGUCAGAUGUGAAAUCCCGUGGCGCAAACGCGGAACUGCAUUUGAAACUGUUGUUCUUGAGUACCGUCGUGGUCGGCGGAAUGUCUGGUGGAGCGGUGAAAUGCAUAGAGAUAAGAAAGAACACCAGUGGCGAAGGCAGAUUACCAAAC
rnacentral:rRNA from 1 species